CACUGAGAUUCAGCCCUUUGUC
rnacentral:siRNA from 1 species